GCCUCACAAUGGUGGGUGAACCUAUCAGUGAUUGUGUGCUUGUUUAUUGGGGACAUGAGUGGCGCUGUGGUUUAAACCACCAAACCUCUUGGGCUUCCCAAUCAGAAGAUUGGCAGUUUGAAUCCCCGCGACGGGGUGAGCUCCCAUUGCUCUGUCCCAGCUCCUGCCAACCUAGCAUUUCGAAAGCAUGCCAGUGCAAGUAGAUAAAUAGGUACCGCUGUGGCAGGAAGGUAAACGGUGUUUCCAUGCAAUCUGGUUUGCGUCACGGUGUCCCGUUGUGCCAGAAGCAGUUUAGUCCUGCUGGUCACAUGACCCGGAAAGCUGUCUGCAGACAAACGCAGGCUCCCUUGGCCUGAAAGCAAGAUGAGCACCACAACCCCAUAGUCACCUUUGACUGGACUUAACUCUCCAGGGGUCCUCUACCUUUACCUUUUACCCAAAUUCCUUGAUAGGGCCAAUGCAUGGACCACCAUUCCCACCACAAAAGGAGCAGACUGCACUGUGUUUCCAAAGGUGUCUGCCUGACCCCCAUAUUCUUCCAGGUUGACACAGGCAAUCUAGGAAGUCCCAUCUACUCUCCUAGACCUUUUCGCCACCGCCGCUGCUUCCUGCCCAAAGGAUCCUGCACUCUUAAAAAUGUAAGCACCUUUAAGAAGAUUUUCCAAAAUAUAAAAGGUGCCGGAGCAUCAUUCUGCCACCUUCCCUGGUGAAUCCUUUUGACACUGGAAAUAACUACUAAAUCAGAGGCCAAAAUUUAAGGCUUUAAGAUGCACAACUAGCUUUAUAUUUUUGGGGUGGUACUGUCAAGAUCUCUGACAUAUGCAUUGAAUAUUUGACCCUGGUUUGCUUUUCUAUCUGCAGAUUUUCUACGUUAAUUUAUUUCCUUUCUGUUACUAUCCAUGUGUAUGCUAUGUUAAGCUUAUGGGAGCGUUGAUUUUGAAAAUUUGUAAAAAUUACAAAUGGACAGUUUAAAAAAAUAUGAUUCACAAUACAUACAUAAAUAUAUAUACUUGGAAGGCAUUUCCAUUGAAUUCAAUGGAUGCUACUUGCAUGUAAAUAGUUACAGGAUCCCAGUCUUUUUGCCCAGUAACCAGUUAUAUGCAAAUUAUGUAAUCCUCUGUACAUUUACCCAUGAGUAAGCCCUGUUGAACUCAGUGGGACUUACUUCUGAGUCAGUAUGCUCAGGCCCGUGCUUUACUCAUCAGAAAUAGGCAAAUUAGCUAUAGCAAGAUUUUAAAAGCCUGGUAAUUUUACGUCAAUAGUUGUGAUUUUGUAUAGAUCUUAUUAACGUCAGAGAGGGGCGGGAAUGUGGUGUGUGAACUUGUUCCAUUUGCUUUGGGCAGGUAUGAGCUUUGAAGUCUACAGUAUCAUUAUGGCCAUUUAAAAUGUAAAACUGCUAAAUUAUUGCCAGGUUCUGUCAGGGGAACUUGUCCAUCCAGACAUUCUGUUCACUUGGAGUAACAGUCCCAAGCAAGGUUUCUUGAGGAAACACUUCCUGCUGAGCAGAGGUGGAGAACUUGUGUCUCUCCAUGUGUGGUUGGACUCCAUCUCCCAUCAUCCCCUGCCAGAACAGCCUGUGGUCAGUGAGUGACCACACAUGGUGAGUCCAACAACAUCUGGAGAGCUUCCAUAGUGAGUCCAACAUCAUCAGCUUCCCCAUCUCUGCCAUAGAAGGUCAGGACACUGGGAGACCUUGUUGUGAUUCAGAAGAAUUUCCCUCUCACGUCCAAGUCAUGGUCAGAGGGUCGUGGCAAACACGAAGCCCACAUUUUGGAAACCAGCAUGGAACAUUGCAGUGAGAAAUUGCUUUAAACCCUCAGAACAAUGAAUAAACAGGUACAGCCAAGGUGCCCUCAGAAUCUGUACAGAACGUUUUCCCAGUUAUUUAUUAUUAUGCAUUUAGAUUUCUUUCCUGCUUUAUCCCACGGCUUCAGAGUCUCAGUUGUCACAUAUUUCACAUUUUAUCCUCGUAACAACCCUUCUGUGACUGACAGGUAAGGCUUGCCUAAGGACAUCCAAUGAGUAUCGUGGGUGGAUAUGGAGGAAUUUAGAAAGUUGCCUCAUCUGCUAUUUGUCUGUUUGGCCCUAGAUUGCUUAUUCUGCUGGCAGAGGCUCUCCUGCAUUUCCAGCAGAAGAUAUUUUUUUUAAUCACUGGACACCUGAUCCUUUUCAAAACAAGCAAGCAAGCAAGCAGAGCGUAGGUGUUGGACCUGAGACCUUCAACACACAAAGUGAGAUUGAGCACAGACCUGAGUUUGCGCCUUCAGGGAUAUUCAGACCUGGUCCUACGUAUCCAAACUUGUUGAAAACUGGGUAUUGGGUAUUUUGCAACUUGCACCCAUUAAAAAAUGUAGCAUUU